GAAAUGAAUUCCUUUGCUUGAGUGUCUGUAAACGCUCUUAAUGUCUCCAAACUUUGCAUUAAAGUGGCACAUGAGCAGUAAAAUCACCUUUUCUGAGGAAGCCGAACAUGCUGCAGCCUCCUUUUUUGCCUGAAAGGUAGUUGAUUCUCCCGAAAUCUCUGAUUUCUCACUACAAAUAAUCUGAGAUCUGAUGCAAUGAGUCCUUCAGGCUCAGGGGUUUUCGUAAAGUAUUUCCACGGCGUCUUGCACUGAGGCCGGUGCUCGUGUUCUCCAGCUGCCCUCUCUUAAACUCACUCUGGCUUCUGUGUAACCACUUUCCUGGAUUUCUUUCUUUCCUUUAGUCACGACAAAUUUCCUAAAGGCCCUGUGUCUCAUGUAUGUGGCAUCUCCUUGAUUCACUCCUCUUCUCCACGACGGCGUGUGAGUUGUUCUCUCAGUUUAUCCUCUCUUUAACCCCCCGUUGCUGGUGGAACUCUUCGCUGUGCCUGUAGAGAAGAGCAGAGCAGUGUUUUGGGGAGCUCAGGGCUCCCCUGGCACCGGGACCUGCUCUGUGCCCAAGAUGCUGUGAUGAAGAGCUGGGCAGAGGAAUUGGAGGAGGCCCUCGAUACCAGUUUUGGGGAGAUGCUUCCUCCAACCCACCUUUCGGGGUGGCAGAGGGGGCUCUUCCCGAUCCCUCCGAUGUCCCUCGCUCUCCCCGGCGUCCUGCGGUGACGGGUCGCUCCCAUCGACCGUGGCUGGACACCAGGUGACAUCAGGGGACAAGGUCCAGGCCGGGGAGAGGGGGGUGGCACCGGGACGUCCUGAGCCGGGCAGCCCUGACCCCCACGCUGCGCCAUGAGGCUGUGGCUCCUCUGUGGCUUCGUUGCCACCGUGGCCCUCGUGGCCGUGGCCGGAGCCGACCACGGCAACUCCAAGAAGGUGGCGCGGGGAAGAGAGGGGACGCGCGUCGGGGGCCAUCGGCGGCACAGACCCUGUUCGGGGUGUUUCUCCGUCCUGAGUGAGGUGAGCUGGGCCAUGGCUGCACCGUGGGGGCCGGGGGAAGCUGGAUGGGGGGAAAGGAGGACACUUGGUGCCACCAGCUCCUCAGUGUCACCCCGAGGAGCUCCUCCACCUUCAUCUCUCCCUGCAGGAGUCACGGUCCAUGUCCUGGCACACUGGAGAAGACGAUGAGGUUCAGCCAGGCAAGAGGGUAUGUAUGGAGCCAGCGGUGAAGGGUCUGGAGGUAUGGAGGUUGAAAGGUCUGGAGGUGCCACAACACACCAGAAGGUGUUGGGGGGGUCAUCCAGCCAUGUCCACUCACCAGGACAGGCUGGUUCCUGGGCCACCCCAUUGCCCAGGUCUGGGCAUGACAAUGACACUGGUGAGGGGUCUUGUGAGGAGCAGCUGAGGGAGCUGGGGGUGUUCAGCCUGGAGACAAGGAGCUGAGGGGAGACCUUCUCGCUCUCUCCAACUCCCUGAAAGGAGGGGGUAGCCAGGGGGGGGUCAGUCUCUUCUCCCAAGGAACAGGUGAUGGGACAAGAGGAAACAGCCUCAAGUUGCUCCAGGGGAGGUUUAGGAUGGAUAUUGGGAAAAAUUCCUUCCUGGAAAGGGUUGUGAAGCAUUGGCAGAGGCUGCCCAGGGCAGUGGUGGAGUCCCCAUCCCUGGAGGGAUCUAAAAGCCGGGCAGACGUGGUGCUGAGGGACAUGGGUGAGUGGUGGGUUUGUCAGAUGGUUGGACUCGAUGAUCUGAAAGGUCUUUUCCAACCUCAAAGAUCCCGUGAUUCUAUUCUAUGACGCAGGAGGGAGCCGGGCGGGAGGACAAGGAUCCGGCACGGCCCCUGAGACCCCCCCGCAGCCUCCUGCUGCCGCCACAGGUAACGGCAGAGCCCCGGUGGGACCCCUGCCCGGGGACGGUGGUGAGACCUGGGGACGGGGACCCCGGCCAUGGUGGGGACCCCCCCAGCAGCCCCCUCUGUGUCUUGCAGGAGGCGCUGAGCAUCCGCACGGUGUGGAGAGGAGGGAACCGGGGGUCCGGUCGCCCCCGGGACGUGCCAUGGGGUCCUCCUGCCCCCUCCCAGCUCUGAGGCUGUGCCCCCACACCCAGGGCACAAAUGAACCUGUGCCCAUGCAAGCUCAGCCCCGCUGCCCCCCUCCUGCACCCCCAAAGUGCUUUUUUGGGGGGCAAUUCCCCCUCUUCCCGCUUUGCCAAGCCACCAAAUAAAGCCGAUGAACCAGAGGGAGUUGGGUGUGUU
rnacentral:lncRNA from 1 species